rnacentral:rRNA from 1 species
AACGAACGCUGGCGGCAUGCCUAACACAUGCAAGCCGAACGAGAUCUUCGGGUCUAGUGGCGCACGGGUGCGUAACGCGUGGGAAUCUGCCCUUUGGUUCGGAAUAACAGUUGGAAACGACUGCAAAUACCGGAUGAUGACGAAAGUCCAAAGAUUUAUCGCCAGAGGAUGAGCCCGCGUAGGGUUAGCUAGUUGGUGUGGUAAAGGCGCACCAAGGCGACGAUCCUUAGCUGGUCUGAGAGGAUGAUCAGCCACACUGGGACUGAGACACGGCCCAGACUCCUACGGGAGGCAGCAGUGGAGAAUAUUGGACAAUGGGCGAAAGCCUGAUCCAGCAACGCCGCGUGAGUGAUGAAGGCCUUAGGGUUGUAAAGCUCUUUUACCCGGGAUGAUAAUGACAGUACCGGGAGAAUAAGCUCCGGCUAACUCCGUGCCAGCAGCCGCAGUAA